rnacentral:rRNA from 1 species
GACGAACGCUGGCGGCGUGCUUAACACAUGCAAGUCGAACGAUGAAGCCCAGCUUGCUGGGUGGAUUAGUGGCGAACGGGUGAGUAACACGUGAGUAACCUGCCCUCCACUCUGGGAUAACUCCGGGAAACCGGUGCUAAUACUGGAUAUGACUGCUGCCUGCAUGGGUGGUGGUGGAAAGAUUUAUCGGUGGUGGAUGGACUCGCGGCCUAUCAGCUUGUUGGUGGGGUAAUGGCCUACCAAGGCGACGACGGGUAGCCGGCCUGCGAGGGUGACCGGCCACACGGGGACUGAGACACGGCCCAGACUCCUACGGGAGGCAGCAGUGGGGAAUAUUCCACAAUGGGCGGAGGCCUGUGGCAGCGACGCCGCGUGCGGGAUGACGGCCUUCGGGUGGUAAACCGCUUUCAGCUCUGACGAAGCAUUUGUGCCGGUAGGAGCAGAAGAAGCACCGGCUACUACGUG